rnacentral:rRNA from 1 species
CCCUUAGAUGUCCUGGGCUGCACGCGCGCUACACUGAUGUGUCCAGUAAGCACCUAACCUAUUCCGAGAGGAGUGGGUAACCUUAGCAAAGCACAUCGUGAUGGGGAUAGAUUAUUGCAAUUAUUAGUCUUGAACGAGGAAUUCCUAGUAAGCACAAGUCAUCAGCUUGUGUUGAUUACGUCCCUGCCCUUUGUACACACCGCCCGUCGCUCCUACCGAUUGAGUGGUCCGGUGAGGCUUUGGGAUCUGAGCGGAAAGAGCGUUUCGCUGUUUCUGCUCGGAAAACUCAGUCGAACCUUAUCAUUUAGAGGAAGGAGAAGUCGUAACA